rnacentral:rRNA from 1 species
AGAGUUUGAUCCUGGCGCAGGAUGAACGCUAGCUACAGGCUUAACACAUGCAAGUCGAGGGGCAGCAUGAACUUAGCUUGCUAAGUUUGAUGGCGACCGGCGCACGGGUGAGUAACACGUAUCCAACCUUCCGUUUACUCAGGGAUAGCCUUUCGAAAGAAAGAUUAAUACCUGAUAGUAUGGUGAGAUUGCAUGAUAACACCAUUAAAGAUUCAUUGGUAAACGAUGGGGAUGCGUUCCAUUAGGUAGUAGGCGGGGUAACGGCCCACCUAGCCAACGAUGGAUAGGGGUUCUGAGAGGAAGGUCCCCCACAUUGGAACUGAGACACGGUCCAAACUCCUACGGGAGGCAGCAGUGAGGAAUAUUGGUCAAUGGGCGCGAGCCUGAACCAGCCAAGUAGCGUGAAGGAUGAAGGUCCUACGGAUUGUAAACUUCUUUUAUAAGGGAAUAAAGUCGCCUACGUGUAGGCGUUUGUAUGUACCUUAUGAAUAAGCAUCGGCUAACUCCGUGCCAGCAGCCGCGGUAAUACGGAGGAUGCGAGCGUUAUCCGGAUUUAUUGGGUUUAAAGGGAGCGUAGACGGAGGAUUAAGUCAGUUGUGAAAGUUUGCGGCUCAACCGUAAAAUUGCAGUUGAUACUGGUCCCCUUGAGUGCAGUUGAGGCAGGCGGAAUUCGUGGUGUAGCGGUGAAAUGCUUAGAUAUCACGAAGAACCCCGAUUGCGAAGGCAGCCUGCUAAGCUGUAACUGACGUUGAUGCUCGAAAGUGUGGGUAUCAAACAGGAUUAGAUACCCUGGUAGUCCACACGGUAAACGAUGGAUACUCGCUGUUGGCGAUAUACUGUCAGCGGCCAAGCGAAAGCAUAAG